rnacentral:rRNA from 1 species
GGAUCAGCCCGCGUUAGAUUAGAUAGUUGGUGGGGUAAUGGCCUACCAAGUCUACGAUCUAUAGCUGGUUUUAGAGGAUGAUCAGCAACACUGGGACUGAGACACGGCCCAGACUCCUACGGGAGGCAGCAGUGGGGAAUCUUAGACAAUGGGCGCAAGCCUGAUCUAGCCAUGCCGCGUGUGUGAUGAAGGCCUUAGGGUCGUAAAGCACUUUCGCCAGAGAUGAUAAUGACAGUAUCUGGUAAAGAAACCCCGGCUAACUCCGUGCCAGCAGCCGCGGUAAUACGGAGGGGGUUAGCGUUGUUCGGAAUUACUGGGCGUAAAGCGCGCGUAGGCGGACUGGAAAGUAUGGGGUGAAAUCCCGGGGCUCAACCCCGGAACUGCCUCAUAAACUAUCAGUCUAGAGUUCGAGAGAGGUGAGUGGAAUUCCGAGUGUAGAGGUGAAAUUCGUAGAUAUUCGGAGGAACACCAGUGGCGAAGGCGGCUCACUGGCUCGAUACUGACGCUGAGGUGCGAAAGUGUGGGGAGCAAACAGGAUUAGAUACCCUGGUAGUCCACACCGUAAACGAUGAAUGCCAGUCGUCGGGUAGCAUGCUAUUCGGUGACACACCUAACGGAUUAAGCAUUCCGCCUGGGGGAGUACGGUCGCAAGAUUAAAACUCAAAGGAAUUGACG